rnacentral:rRNA from 7 species
CAACUCUCAACAACGGAUAUCUUGGCUCUCGCAACGAUGAAGAACGCAGCGAAAUGCGAUACGUAGUGUGAAUUGCAGAAUUCCGUGAACCAUCGAAUCUUUGAACGCAUAUUGCGCCCAAGACUUCGGUCGAGGGCAUGUCUGCGUCAGCGUCG